GCAAGUAUCAUAUAAUGGCAGUAUUUCUGUCUUCCAAACAGAGAGCGCAGGUUCGAUUCCUGCUACUUGUA